UCCCUCACCGUUCCAGGUGCGAGGAGGACGACCAUCCCCGAAAGAGGAGGACCGGUCUUCGGUCAAGGGUAUAAGAGUAGCUGAGCUCCCCUGCUAGAACCUCCAAACAAGCUCUCCAUCCUGUAUUCUUUACAGUUUGCUAUACCAGAUCACUGUGCUCAGC
rnacentral:sRNA from 1 species